rnacentral:misc_RNA from 1 species
AAGUCGUAACAAGGUCUCCGUUGGUGAACCAGCGGAGGGAUCAUUACCGAGUCUAAAAACUCAUCAACCCUGUGAACAUACCUAAACGUUGCUUCGGCGGGAACAGACGGCCCCGUAACACGGGCCGCCCCCGCCAGAGGACCCCCUAACUCUGUUUCUAUAAAUGUUUUUUCUGAGUAAACAAGCAAAUAAAUUAAAACUUUCAACAACGGAUCUCUUGGCUCUG